rnacentral:rRNA from 1 species
UACGGAGGGUGCAAGCAUUGAUCGGAAUUACUGGGCGUAAAGGGCGCGUAGGCGGUUUGGUAAGUCAGAUGUGAAAUUCCGCGGCUCAACUGCGGAGCUGCAUUUGAAACUACCGAACUCGAGCAUAGUUAGGGAAAACGGAAUUCCACGUGUAGCGGUGAAAUGCGUAGAUAUGUGGAAGAACACCGGUGGUGAAGACGGUUUUCUGGGCUAUUGCUGACGCUGAGGCGCGAAAGCUAGGGGAG